AAGCUACAGAAGCAAAGAGGCCGGUGGGUGCCUCUCCCUUCCACUUGCUGAACUACCGGAGUGAAAAAGCCACAACAUUUCUAGGGGCUCCUUCAGGAUCUUCGGAAGGGAUCACUCCAGCCAGACCACCCAACUGGCCUGGAGGAUAUUACCUCAGGAGACAGCCCCCACCUGUUUGGGCAGGAAUUAUCAAGGGAUCUCUCUGAGUUCCUUCAUCCUCAGCUUAAAGUUUUACAACAUGUAGAUGACAUUCUCCUGUGUGCCCCAACUGACUAUAUCUCUCAGGAAGGCAGAAGUGGCAGUAAUGCAUUGUAAAACCACCAAAAGUGGAUGAAUGAAAUAGCCAAGGGAAAUCAAUUGACAGAUCAAGCAGCUAAAUUGGCAGCAAGAAGCCCCAGAUUUCUGAUCCACUUGAGGCUCUUCUGGUCUGGAGGGUGUUCCAUAAGAGAAAUAAAACCUCAAUAUUUUCCAAAAGAAGUAGAAUGGGCCACCUCUCAGAAAUACAUGUUCAGCCCUUAGGGUGGCCUCAACUGGAGGAUGGCAAACUUCAUCUAUCAGAUUCCAGCCAAUGAAAGUCCUUAAAAUUCUUCACCAAGCCUCCCACCUAGGAAAAGAUAAAGACUGUCAAUUGUCUCAAAGGUUGUUCUCAGGUAAAAAUCUGCUAAAAAUCAUAAAACAGGAUGUUAAUGCUUCUGAAACUUGCCUUAAAAAUAAUUCCUGGCCGGGCACAGUGGCUCAAGCCUGUAAUCUCAGCACUUUGGGAGGCCGAGGCAGGUGGACCACGAGGCCAGGAGAUCGAGACCAUCCUGGUCAACAUGGUGAAACCCCAUCUCUACUAAAAAUAAAAAUAUAUAUAGCUGGGCAUGAUGGCGUGUGCCUGUGGUCCCAGCUGCUCGGGAGGCUGAGGUGGGAGAAUUGCCUGAACCCAGGAGGCGGAGGUUGCGGUGAGCUGAGGUCGCGCCAUUGCACUGCAGCCUGGGAAACAAGAGCGAAGCUCUGUCUCAAAAUAAUAAUAAUAAUAAUAAUAAUUCCUUCAACUGGUAGCUUAUCUUCUCUUCUCCAGAACCCAAAGAAUGAGUGGCCACCUGUAAAAAGAAUGGCAAAUGGAUUUCACCCAUAUGCCAGAGAUAAGGGGCAUCCAGUACCUCCUGGUAUUGGUAGAUACCUUCACUAACUGGGGAGAACCAUUUCCAUGUCAGACAGAGAAAGGCUCUGAAGUGAUAAAACUACUAAUUAAUGAAAUAAGUCCUUGCUUUGGACUCCCUAAGUAUGUCAAGAGUGAUAAUGAUCCCUCAUUCCAGGCAGUUGUCCCCAGGGUCUCAAAGGCACUGGGCAUACAAUAUCAUCUUAAUUGUGCUUAGAGUCUGCAGUCCUUGGGAAGGGUAGAAAAGACAACUGAUAUUAUCAAAAGCCACCUUAGAAAACUGUCUCAAGAGACUCAUCCUUCUUUCCAUGGCCCUACUAUGUCUUAGAAACACUCCUUCAAAGCUGGAUUUCAGUCCCUUUGAAAUGAUAUUUUCUCACCAAUUAUUUCCUGCUAGAUAAGAAAUCUCUGAUUUGAUUAAACAUGCAACUUCUCUGAUUCAUUUCCAGCAGGAACUGAAACAAUUCUCAAAGGUCCAAAUCCAUGAACUAGGGUUCCCUCUAUUCAACCCAAGGGAUUUAGUACUGGGUAGGGGGUGCGGAGAGAGAGUGCACUCGCGCGUGCGCACAUGCACAUGUUGUCACCAAGUGGGCACCCUAUAAGCAUGCUUUCUUGGCUGAGAUGUAUUGAGCUCUAAUUUUGCCAGGACUUCUUUGUAUCAAACUAUGACAAUUUGAAGUGAAGAAACUGUCUGUAUCCCCUUCCUAUGCCAGUUUUGCUCAGUUCCAAGCACAGCAGUUUCCACCUGGUAGACCUUCAAGAUACAGAAUGUGCAUGAUUGAAUCAGCAAAUUCCUCUUGGCUCUUACCUCAUUUGGACAUCUUAAAAAAAAUCUUCUAAAAUAACUUUCCACCCCUAUCACUGAUUCAAAUCUCUUCCAGUGUGAUGAUUUGUAAUUUUGAACCAGCCUACUAAAACUGUAGCCAGAAUUGGUUCCAUAAAUCCUUUUAUAUAACUUUGACUCAUCUAUAAUUAAUCAUAAUAAUAAGAUUGUUAAAUUCCAUUUAUUUCUAAUACCAUUAAUCUUUCACAUCAGACAAUUUGUGGUAUGCCAUGAUUAGCAGAAUAGUUUAAUUAGUACAUUCUAUAAAUCUAGAAUAUGAUCUUGGAUUGAAUUCUGUUAAUCCUCCUUACCCCAUAUCAGUAACUGCAGUAAAGAAUUAGAAAAGUUGUUGCUCACACAUAGUUCUUUUCUCUUAUGGCUCUUUUCCUGGAAGCUGUGUUGAACUAGAAAGUACCUCUCCUAAUAUGUCUUCUACUUUUCCCUAAAAUGUUUUGACAUUUUUAAGUUAGCUUAAGCAAAAUUUUAAAGAAUUUAAAUACACAGCAAUUUUCAUCAAAAGUUUUCAUUUAUGCUCAUUGUGUAUAAUAGCCCUAUAAAUUAUUAUGCUUAUUCAACAAUUAAGACAAGCUGCCUAGAACAAAUACAGUGUAACUUUCACUGCAUUCCACGUGUCAAGCCAAGGGCAGCUUCAUAGACAUAUGAUCUGUAUAGUUGCACAAAAUCUUGUGCAUAGAAAGACCUUAUGUUUGUUGCACUGUUUUCAUCUUGAAAUUCUUAAUAAUCUUUGAACAAGGGGUCUUACAUUUUUAUUUUCCCCUGGGCCCCAUGUGUUUACUCCUGAUCAAAGCAAUUCACAGCCCAGCCCAGAUUCUAGGACAAGGAAAAUAGGAGAUAGAUUUUAUGUCUCAAUGGGUGGAACAGCAUAUAUGUUCAGGACAGAAAGGAAUUAAUGGUGACCAUCUAUGGAAUAUUCACCAUAUUCUUAUUCUACUAAUAAGAAAACUGAGGUGGAGAGAGAUUAAGUGCCUAGCCCAAAAUCACAUCAGUGACCAGUAAUGUAACAGAUAUAGCCCUGGUAUUCACUGGAAAAAAAUGACUGUGAGUAGUCCAGAGCAUGCUGGAUAUAGAAUUGUUAAACUGAUGAAUUUCCAUCUCUUGUACAAUCACUAGAGGACAAUAUUACUAAAAUAAGAGUUAAUUUAACCAUAGUGUAUCUUCCCUCAGUAUAUUAGCACCCUGUUUAGUGCCAUGGGUUGGAAUCUCCUUGCCAGCUCUGAUUCUUCAAACUCCAGUGCCUACAACCAACCAUUUGUCCUUUAUUCCACCUGUGCUAGUUCAUGGGCUUUUUCUGCCGUGGUUAGGAACACUGAACAUAGAAAGAGAAAAUGGCUGAGCACCAUGGCCAGGCAAGAAAAAAGGUCUAACACAAAUCUGAAAAGAUUUAUAGGAUAGGAAAGCAAGGAGAGUUAGGAAUAAAGACCCUCUAGUCAUGAGAUUGAAUAUGACAUUCAACAAGAGGAAGAAUUGAGAGGGAUUGGAGAAGGAGGUUGAGCUUCUAAGUUUGAGUCUUGGAAAUACAGCAGUAUUAAAGUUUUUCUUUCUAGGUAACUCGCUGAUACUCUGAGUAGUCAUGAAGACAAGUACUUGGAAAAAUGAAACUACCAUUGUGAUAGCUGACUAAAUUAUAUGAGAUUUUUUUUUUUUUUUUUUUUUUUGAGACGGAGUUUCACUCUUGUUUCCCAGGCUGGAGUACAAUGGCAUGAUCUCGGCUCACCACAACCUCUGCCGAUAUGAGGUUUUUAAAUAAGAUUUUAUUUUCAACAUUUGCUAUAUGAGUAUCAGUUGUAUUACUGAUAAAACCAUGUCUCUUUAACUUAAUAUUUCAGUGCUUGAUAGUUAGAUUUUCCAUUAAAUAUUAAUGAUUCAAAUGAGAAAGUAUCAUUUUCCAAUCUGUAAGAACCAUCAAUUAAUAUUUGAAUAAAACCGUUCCUCUUGCUCUGCUAGUGUUACUUUUAAAAUGCAUUUAAUGGAAAGAUGCUAUGUUCAAUAUGAUGUAAUAUAUAAGAUAAAACUACAAUCUUUUUUUUGUCUAAAAUCAACGUUCUUUAAUGUUUUGUAUAUUCCCAAGCAUUGAAAACUUUAGAUAUAUGUUUUCAUUUAAUUCUCACAAAUACCCUUCAUUGUUGCUACUGUUAUCAAAAUUAUAUAGAAAAUACUUUUUUUUUUAAUUUUAAAUUCAGGGAGUACAUGUGCUGGUUUAUCACUUGAGUAUAUUGUGUGAUGUUGAGUCUUGGGAUUCUGCUGAUUCCAUCACCCAAAUUGUGACUGCAGUACUCAAGACGUAGAUUUUCAGCCUUUGACCAUCUUUCUCCCUUCUACUUUUGGAGUCCUCAGUGUCUAUUGCACCAUCUUUAUGUCUGUGUACCCAAUGAUUACCUCCCACUUAUAAGUGAGAUUAGAUAGUCCUGGGUUGUCUAUUUCCGUAUUAAUUCACUUAGCAUAAUGGCCUUCAGCUGCAUUCAUGUUGCUGCAAAGAACAUGCUCUCAUUCUUUUUAAUGCUUGUGUAGCAUUCCAUGGUGUAUAUGUCACACAUUUUCUUUAUCUAAUCCACCACUGAUGAGCACCUAGGUUGAUUUUAUGUCUUUGCUAUUAUAAAUAGUGUUGUGAUAAACAUACAAAUAUAGGUAUCUUUUUGGUAGAUGAUUUAUUGUCUUUGAGUAUACACCCAGUAAUGGAAUUGCUGGCAUAAAUGGUAAUUCUAUUUUUGCUUAUUUGAGAAAUGUCCAAACUGCUUUUUACAGUGGCUGAAUUAACAUUCCCACCAGGAGGUGUAAGUAUUCCUUUUCUUUGCAUCCUUGUCAACAUCUGCUUUUAUUUUUCUUUUGAAUGUAGCCAUUGCGAUUAAUGUAAGAUAGUAUCUCCUUGUGGUUUUGAUGUGUAUCUCACUGAUUAUUAGUGAUGUUGACCAUUUUUUUAAUGUUUUUGGCCAUUUGUAUGUCUUCUGAGAGAUAUGUGUUCAUGUCCUUUGCCUACUUUUGAAAGAGGUUAUUUUUUUUUCUUAUUUGUUUAAGUUUCUUAUAAAUUCUGGAUAUUUGUCCUUUGUCAGAUGCAUACUUUGCUAAUAUUUUCUCCCAUUCUAUAGGUAGUCUGUUUACUCUGCUGAUAGUUCUUUUGCUGUGCAGGAGCUCUUUAGUUUAAUUAGGUCUCACUUGUCAAUUUUUGUUUUCAUUGCAUUUGCUUUUGAGGACUUAGUCAUAAACUCUCUAAUCCAAUGUUGAGAAGAGUAUUUUCUCACUUUUCUUAUAGGAUAUUUAUGGUUUGAGAUCUUAUAUUUAAUUCUUUAGUCCAUCUUGAAUUAAUUUUUAUAUAUCAUGAGAAGUAAGGGUUCAGUUUUAUUUUUCUGCAUAUGAUUAAUGAUUUUUCUCAGCAUCAUUUAUUAAGAGAGUUCUUUCCCCAUUGUUUGUUUUGUUAAAGAUCCCUUGGUUGUGGGUGUGCAGCUUCAUUUUUGGGUUCUCCAUUCUGUUCCACUUGUCUAUGUUUCUGCUUUUGUACCAGUACCAUGCUGUUUUGAUUUUUACAGCCUUGUAGUAUAGUUUGAAGUUGGUUAAUUUGAUGUCUCCAGCUCUGUCUUUUGUUUGGUUAGUUGGUUUUUGCUUAGGACUGGUUUGGCUAUUUGGGUUCUCUUUUGGUUCCACAUAAAUUUUAGAAUAGUUUUUUCUAAUUCUGUAAAAAAAAUAAUGAUGAUAAUUUGAUAGAAAUUGCAUCAAAUCUGUAUAUUGCUUUAGGCAGUAUUGUAAUUUUAAAAAUGUUUAUUC